UUCUUAUAGUUGAAAUUAUUACAUUGAUAAACAUGUGAAAUAUAAGUCAAUAAUAAUGAGUGAUGAACCGGCUAAUUUACAGACCUGUACGUUUGGAGGUGGUGAUGAAUCCUCACUUACUGCUCUUGAGGCAGCGCAGAGAUUUACGAAUUUAUAUUUAUCCAAGGAUCUGACCUCAAUAAGAGUACAAGUUCCAGAGGAGAAAAUUAACUAUGGACUUUCUACUGAUGUUCCAGCAGGUUUGAGUGAAAGUGAAUGGAAUGCUAAAGCUGAUGAAAUACAAGAUGUAAAGGAUAAAGAAGGAUUUUAAAAGUACUGGUCUCAAUACCAAGGCGGAGCCAGUGAGUUGGAGAUAUGGAAUUACAUUUGCAAGAUUCCGUUGUCAAUCCCAUUAGGCCUCUUCCACAAUUUUAACCUUCGCAUGUUUCGACUUUUUACAGCAGGGUGAUCAAAUUGAUAAAGACUGCUUUGGGGAGAAAAUGAAGCAUGAAUUGCAUGAUGAGCCGGAUCCUGAUGAUGGAAGUAGUGAUGAUGAAAGAGAAGAGAAUUUAAGACCAACAAUUUUAUGUUAUUUCAACAUAAUGGAUGUGGACAGGGGAGAAGUGAAUUGGAUGGAUGGGGAUGGGGAAAGGAGGAAAGCCACCAAGAAGUUAAUGUGUAGGGGAGUGGUAUUAUUUGUAGAAAAUUUAUACUUACGUCUUUAUAGUCCUCUAAAUGUAGUAUAACUUAACUUGCUAUUAUUUCUUUCUUAUAACUAAUAUAUUUGUUUACUAAGCUACUGCUAAAUUCAUUGAUAUUUUUAUUUUCUUCUGAAAAUAGUUUGAAUCAUGACUGUGAUAAUGAAAUCAAUAAGAUUAUCAGAUAUUUUCUACUUUGAUGUUUGUUUUCUCUCUGCCAGUGAUGGUUCGUCUUUCUAAAUUUCUGAAGAGGCUUGAGGGCUUGCAUGAUGAUACAGAAACCAGGGGGAUAUAUAUUUCCUGUCUAACCCCUAAUGUCAAAGGAUGUUAUGAUGAAAAGGGGAAUUAUAUAACCCCAAUCUUUAAUCUACAGAUGAAGGAAAUGUUUUCUGAGUUGUCAAAGGAACUUGAGAUAAAGACCAAGCAAAAGAAUUUGGUGGAGUUCUGGGGUGCUGAGGAUAUCUGUAGGGAGAUGAGAGUUCCUUUAAGAAUGGACUAUUUCUACACUGUGCUUCCAUGGUUCUUAGCAGGAUAUCAGAACAGUUUGGGAGGGUGAUGUUGGAGGAGGUCGGUGCCGGGUCCUCAAUGUGCAGAGAAAAAUCAAUACCGGGAUAGCAAAACAGGAGGGAGGGCGGAGACUGGAUUAGUCAGAGCUGGGAUUCAACAACGGAAAGAAGAGUAUUAAAAUGGUUGACAGAGCGUCAAAAAACUUGAUUUUUUUUUUAAGGUAAAAUAUUGUUUAGAAAGAACAAAUUUUUUCGUUUAAACUUAUAAGGAAAGGUUUUUGUUCGGGAUCGAUUUACAAUAUCAGCCUUGAUUGGACGAUAUUUCCGCAUCGACCAAUAAGGAUUAAGAGGCUGGGAAAUACAACUAGGAGUGGAAACUUAUUAGCUUAGUAAAUUAGAGAACCCGGUUUCGUUUGAUUUUUUCUUAAAUUACAAACACAUGAACGAUUUCAACUAUUGAACAUUUAAAUCUAGGCGAAAACAAGACAGAUUUAAAAAUUAUUAAUUUUUAGCACGAAAACGGAGAGCAUAACUCGAGGUUCGAUAUCUUGCUUGUUUUAAGUACAAAUCGUUAAAACGAUUUAACUUAGAUAGGUGACAGUUCAUCUACCUUUAUAUUAAUAACCAAUAAUUUUUUUAUAUUCAAUUCAUUAGAGAGGGAGAGAAAUGAACUUAAAACUUUCAUUCAACAUUAGUUGUCCAAAAUAACUCUUUAAUAUCAAUCAGUUUGAACUAAUUAUAAAGGAAAAUAUUUUUAAACUAUUCACUGACUGUCCUGUUUUCGGGGACACCCUGUAAUUUUCAUGUUGUCACCUGAAUAAAAAAACUUUGUUUUUUUUAUUCAGGCUUAAAUGUCAUUGGGCAAAUGUAGCAGACACUCAAUAAGACUAGCCGAUGCCACAUGGUUAAAGCGGUCAGACUUUAGCUGGAAUUUAUGUUGAAUUGGAGUAAAACUUCGGAGGUCUGGAGUUCUUUAUGUUGAAGUUGGAGUAAAAACUCUAGAGAUCUAGAGUACUCUAUGUAGAGGUUGGAAUAGAACUCUGAACAUCUGGAGUUCUUAAGGUUGAGGUUGGAGUAGAACUCCGAACAUUUGGAGUUCAUAAGAUUGAGGUUGGAGUAGAAUUCUGAAGAUUUGGAUUUAUGUUGACUGUUGAGGAUGUAGUAGAAGGGAUGUCCUAAAUAAAAAAUAUAUGUUAUAUCCUUUAUUUUGUUACACUAAUUUUUAACAAAUAACUGGAGCUACCAGUCCCCUAUCAAAUGUAAUUUUAUAAGCAUUGUUUUAAUGCUUAUAAAAUUAUAUUUGACAUUGACACAAGGAGGCAUAUUGCUUCAUUAAUUAUUAUUUUUAUUUUAAAUUCUGCUAAACUUGUAUCAAAGUGUGAA